GGUCCUACGGGACGCAGCAGUGGGGGAUAUUGCACAAUGGGGGAAACCCUGAUGCAGCGACGCCGCGUGGGCGAAGAAGUAUUUCGGUAUGUAAAGCCCUAUCAGCAGGGAAGAAGAAAUGACGGUACCUGAGUAAGAAGCACUGGCUAACUACGUGCCAGCAGCCGCGGUAAUACGUAGGGGGCGAGCGUUAUCCGGAUUCUCUGGGUGUAAAGGGAGCGUAGACGGCCAUGCAAGCCAGGGGUGAAAGCCCGGGGCCCAACCCCGGGACUGCCCUUGGA
rnacentral:rRNA from 1 species